UUGUUUAUUUAAAAUAUAAACUCAGACAAUUGAUAAAAUAUAGAGUUAAUGGUUCCUUUGGCGAAGAACACACCCGCUUCAUAACAAAGCCGAUGGCCUUUUUCAGAAGAAAAAGAACGCUUCACCAAAGUAAUAAAAUUUGGUAACACAAAGGGUGGGAGAUUCCAUACAAGUAUGGAAAAAUCUCGGUAAUGAUCCUUCCGCAGGUUCACCUACGGAAA
rnacentral:misc_RNA from 1 species